rnacentral:rRNA from 1 species
AUACGUAGGGGGCGAGCGUUGUCCGGAAUGAUUGGCGUAAAGGGCGCGUAGGCGGCCCGGUAAGUCUGGAGUGAAAGUCCUGUUUUUAAGAUGGGAAUUGCUUUGGAUACUGUCGGGCUUGAGUGCAGGAGAGGUAAGUGGAAUUCCCAGUGUAGCGGUGAAAUGCGUAGAGAUUGGGAGGAACACCAGUGGCGAAGGCGACUUACUGGACUGUAACUGACGCUGAGGCGCGAAAGUGUGGGGAGCAAACAGGAUUAGAUACCCUGGUAGUCCACACUGUAAACGAUGAAUGCUAGGUGUAGGGGGUAUCGACCCCUUCUGUGCCGCAGUCAACACAAUAAGCAUUCCGCCUGGGGAGUACGGCCGCAAGGUUGAAACUCAAAGGAAUUGACGGGG